UACGUAGGGUCCGAGCGUUGUCCGGAAUUAUUGGGCGUAAAGAGCUCGUAGGCGGUUUGUCGCGUCUGCUGUGAAAUCCCGAGGCUCAACCUCGGGUCUGCAGUGGGUACGGGCAGACUGGAGUGCGGUAGGGGAGAAUGGAAUUCCUGGUGUAGCGGUGGAAUGCGCAGAUAUCAGGAGGAACACCAAUAGCGAAGGCAGCUCGCUGGGACGGUACUGACGCUAAGGCGCGAAAGCGUGGGGAGCGAACAGG
rnacentral:rRNA from 1 species